GUAAAUUUCAAACAGAUUUUCAAUACUGAUAUUGGUUUCAAAACUGACUCCCUCCAGAACUUAAAGUAUUAAACUCCUGAGAGUCUUCAUAUAACAUACUCCAUUUUGCCAAACAGACCACUUUAUUAUAAUUAUCAUUCCAUCAUCUCAAAGUGGGAAUGAUAACACCCGCAUCACAAAGACAGUGUGAGGAUUAGGCAGCAAAAGCCUGUUAGCACUGUGUAGAGUGCUCUAGAAGUUUUAAUUUAUUUACAGCAGAAAUUUUGCCUCAUGGGAACUAUGUGAAAAGCAGAGGCAAGUGGGAAGCUGCGGGUAGCUACACGUCAAUACCCAGGAACACCGGCAGGUGAUGGGGGGAGGGAGGGCGGUCAACAACCUCCUAAGGAGUCCUCGUAGCCUCUCCUCAGACCAAUAGCAGCAGAAACCCAUACUGCAGGACUCCCACCUCGGACUGAGUUACCUGCAAGGAUAUGUAAAUCUCAUCUCCUUGGAAAACUGCUAAAUAAUAACACUGCCAACGUGCAGACCCCAGGCGCUCAGAUCCCUGCCAGUGUAGUUCAUGUGCCUCUGGGACUUGCAAGCCGAAACAUGUGUGCACGUCUGAGCGGCUGAACCAACAUGUAUCCAUAAACAUUAUGAAUAAUACUCGCGAGAAUGUACAGCUUUCUCCUAAGUAGCGCUUGAAGCACUUUGCCUAAAUCAAAUUACUUUCGUAUCACUCGCGUGCUGAAAGUUGGAGCUUCAUGCCCAAAGACUGGGCGGAAGGGGUGACCGCCCUGGACCCCUGACCGACUUCCCAUUAGGCCGAGCCGCCAUCCCGAAAGGGGACAGUGUUCAGGCCAGCUUCCUGGAGACACACCUGCGCCUGCACACACCCACCUCGGUCGCGUCACCAAGGCCGAGGCCACCUGGGCGAGGACCAAAGUCUGGAGGGAAUUCCCUCAGCCACGGAGCGAUGGGAAAGCGGGACUCGGAUGUGCCUGCUUCCCCUUCUGCCAUGAUUGUAACUUUCCUGAGGCCUCCUCAGCCAUAUGGAACUAUAAGGGAUUUUGAUGUGGAGCUGGAUUUCCUGGUUCCAAAUCCUGGCUCCUCCCCUCAUACCUGGGCAAGAUGAAGAAUGAGAACAAGAGAGGUUUGAGCCUGACUCUCAGAUCUCUGCAUGGGGCAUGUCACUGAUGAUGGCAGCAUUCCCCAAGAGAGGGAACACUAAGUUUGAAGUUGGGCAUAGUGAGUACCAUUUUGGAUGAGUUAAGUUUAGAAGUGCCUGAAGACAUCCAAGCGGAAGAAGUGGCUACAUAGACUGAAGAUACAGAGUAGGAAAUGUUAACAACCUCCAGGAACUGUAGUCCUGGGCACAGGUGAGACUGCUCCCCGGGGAGCUGUAGAAGGAGAGGACACGAGGCCUCAGGCAGAGCUCUGGGUGAAGGUGGUGUACAGCCUGAGAGAAUGUUGGAGAUUGAGGGGAACAAGGAGAGAGUUGGUGAAUCAAGGGCUGUGCUAUGAGGGGAUGAGUCUGGGGAUGAAAUGUCAGUAACAUCAACUUCCAUUAACUGAUUAAAGAUGAAAAUAAUAAAGCUAGCUCCUGGGAUUGAAAGCCAAUUAAUUUUGUUCUUUUCUAGAGCUAAGACUAGCAUCUCAGAUGAUUUGUAAUUUGUAAAUGAAUUUGCAUCCUAUUUGUAAGUAAAUGCUUUGAUGUUAAGGACUUACCAAUGAGAGAACACACUAAACAAGGGGUCCCCAACCCCCAGGCCACGGCCAGGUAACAGUCCCGUGUGUUAGGAACCCAGCUGCACAGCAGGAGGUGAGCGG